UUUUAUUUGAUGGUCUUAUAAAAUAUUUUGGAACGUUAAGGUUACAUAGUUACCAAAGCAGGUAACCAGUAAAUAACAGUGUAAAAAUUGGGUUGUUUACUUCCGGCGGUGGUUACUUUCUUAUAUGCAAUGAAAUGUAGUGUGAAAUUUUCACUGUAUCACUGGAAAGGAUUUAACUUUACACAUGCAAAAUAUUUCUUUGGUUGAAAUAAAGGUAAAUACUGUACAAUUUUUUUAAAAGUGCCAAUUUAACAAAGACUAAUAGGGAAAAAUCAAUGGUGGUAUUACAC
rnacentral:lncRNA from 1 species